CGUACAGGUUUCCGUAGGUGAACCUGCGGAAGGAUCAUUAAAGAGUAAGGGUGCUCAGCGCCCGACCUCCAACCCUUUGUUGUUAAAACUACCUUGUUGCUUUGGCGGGACCGCUCGGUUCCGAGCCGCUGGGGAUUCGUCCCAGGCGAGUGCCCGCCAGAGUUAAACCAAACUCUUGUUAUUAAACCGGUCGUCUGAGUUAAAAUUUUGAAUAAAUCAAAACUUUCAACAACGGAUCUCUUGGUUCUCGCAUCGAUGAAGAACGCAGCGAAAUGCGAUAAGUAAUGUGAAUUGCAGAAUUCAGUGAAUCAUCGAAUCUUUGAACGCACAUUGCGCCCCUUGGUAUUCCGAGGGGCAUGCCUGUUCGAGCGUCAUUACACCACUCAAGCUAUGCUUGGUAUUGGGUGCCGUCCUUAGUUGGGCGCGCCUUAAAGACCUCGGCGAGGCCUCACCGGCUUUAGGCGUAGUAGAAUUUAUUCAAUUAACGUCUGUCAAUGGAGAGGACUUCUGCCGACUGAAACCUUUAUUUUUUACAGGUUGACCUCGGAUCAGGUAGGGAUACCCGCUGAACUUAAGCAUAUCA
rnacentral:rRNA from 1 species